GGGGCGGCGGGGCGAGGGGCUUGGAGCCCCUGUCACCGCCGCAGCCCGGGCGGCCUCCGGGAGGCGCCGGCGCCCGCGGGCGCUGCGAGCCGGGGAGCGUGUGGGUGACCGAGCGAUGCGGCGGUGUGAGGAAGCCGGGCUGGGCUCCCCGCUGCCUUCCCGGGAGGAGAGGGCGCUGGGAACGGGCGCCGCGGGAUUAUGCCCUUCAUUCAGCACAGCGGCGGCUGAGCGAGGCGGGCGAGCUAGCGGCGCCGCUCCCCGCCCGGGGCACAGGGCAGCGGUGUGGGAUCGGCCGGACCGCCGUGGGGUGACAGCGCAGCGCCCUCCAGUCCCGGGCUGAGCCACCCGGGACAGGGCUCCCAUCCCGGCGGUCCUCGGUCAGGCCGAUGCGGGAGAGGAAACAGCCUUAGCUAGACCAAAGGAUGUGACUGGGGGAAGCGACUGGCUUUUGUCUACCCAAGAUCAUGUUCAUGUCUGACCUUCUGCUCUGGAGAUUUCUUCUUCACACAUUUCAAAGGACAGAUUACUCAACACUCAAUUUACUGCUUCUGGAGGAAUGAAUGGAUCCACUGACUCCCAGGAUAUGAGAAAGCUCAUCUUGGACAUAAACUGGACAAAUGUAUUCCUUUUAAUCAUCUAGCAAUGAUAGCAGUGAUGAGUAAUUAUCAACAGUAUGAUAAACUGUCCUUCUAAAUACCUAUGUUGCCACUGGGGUCAAAAUGAUUGAGUACUAAGUUACUAUAGUAUUAUGAAAUAGAUGUAUAUUUUGUGUUGUCCUGUGUAGUCCAGAUGAGCUGUGCUCUGUUCUGCCUCUGCCAGACAGUUUUUCUUUCUCCCUGGGGCAAUGCUAGUACAUGCUUCCUCUGCCCCAGCUGAGGAAAGGCAGAGGAGAAGAGAACUGUGCUUCCACCCAGUAACAGCUAGUGGAUUUACUACAUCUCCUUGGAAAGGUGCUGAAACAGAGCAGAGCUGCCUUAUCUGUGGGCUCCUAGGAAGGAAGCAGAAGGUAGAGGUUUUGUGGGGGGAAAGGAAUACACUUCCCAAAACCAGAGAAUGGAAAAAGACCUUCAAGUCCCAUCUCUUACCAUUGCCUUUACUGCAGAUGAAAGUCUUCCCCACAAGGACAUCUCCCUUGAAGUUCCAUGGGUGCAUUGGAAUGCUUUUUUGGUGUUAGUAUUAUGAAAAUUCUCAUGGCAUAACUCAUCAAUAAAUGGCAGCCUUGGAAGUGUAAGAAUCAGUGUUACAAAGUUCAAGACUCUGUGGAUGCUUAUUAUUUAUUUUAAAUAAAACUGAUUUCAGUCA